AUUGAACGCUGGCGGCAGGCCUAACACAUGCAAGUCGAACGAGUGGCGGACGGGUGAGUAAUGUCUGGGAAACUGCCUGAUGGAGGGGGAUAACUACUGGAAACGGUAGCUAAUACCGCAUACCAUCGGAUGUGCCCAGAUGGGAUUAGCUAGUAGGUGGGGUAAAGGCUCACCUGGGCGACGAUCCCUAGCUGGUCUGAGAGGAUGACCAGCCACACUGGAACUGAGACACGGUCCAUACUCCUACGGGAGGCAGCAGUGGGGAACAUUGCGCAAUGGGCGCAAGCCUGAUGCAGCCAUGCCGCGUGUAUGAAGAAGGCCUUCGGGUUGUAAAGUUCUUUCAGCGGGGAGGCGUUACCUGCAGAAGAAGCACCGGCUAACUCCGUGCCAGCAGCCGCGGUAAUUC
rnacentral:rRNA from 1 species